rnacentral:lncRNA from 1 species
CAACGGGUUUUACCCCUAACACUCCAUUCAUGCCGGAGAUAUUGUCAUAUCCCCUACCCGACAGAUUCAAAUAUCCUCGCAUUAAAGAGUAUGAUGGGACGACUGACCCAAUCAACCAUCUCAAUAUAUAUACUGAUGUCAUGAAUUUGCAAGUUGCGCCGAACCAGGUUAUGUGCAAAGUCUUUUCGCAAACGUUGACUAAUGCUGCUAGGGAUUGGUUCUCGACAUUGGAGCCCAACUCCAUAGCCUCAUUCUCAAAUUUGGCUGAUAAGUUCUCAGCCUUCUUUGCAAGUAGCAAGCGAAUCAGAAAGACUGCGGCCUCUCUCAUGCAAUUUCGCCACGAACCAAAUGAAACCCUACGAGGAUUUAUGACGAGGUUUAACAAAGAAAGGCUUCAAAUACCCGACCUGCACAUCACAGGGGCUGUUUUCGCCCUCACUUACGUAGUAAGAUGUGAAGCCUUCAAGAUGUCCUUAUCAAAGAC